rnacentral:tRNA from 1 species
GCAGCCGUAGCUCAGUUGGAUAGAGCAGCGGAUUUCUAAUCCGCCGGUCGCAGGUUCGAAUCCUGCCGGCUGCG